rnacentral:rRNA from 1 species
CCUACGGGGCGCAGCAGUGGGGAAUAUUGCACAAUGGGGGAAACCCUGAUGCAGCGACGCCGCGUGCGUGAGGAAGUAUUUCGGUAUGUAAAGCUCUAUCAGCAGGGAAGAAAAUGACGGUACCUGACUACGAAGCCCCGGCUAACUACGUGCCAGCAGCCGCGGUAAUACGUAGGGGGCAAGCGUUAUCCGGAUUUACUGGGUGUAAAGGGAGCGUAGCCGGCUAAUCAAUCCCGAAGUGAAAACCCAGGGCUCAAUUUUGGGACUGUUUUUGAAAUUGAGGAGCGAGAGUGCAGGAGAGGUAAGCGGAAUUCCUAGUGUAGCGGUGAAAUGCGUAGAUAUUAGGAGGAACACCAGUGGCGAAGGCGGCUUACUGGACUGUAACUGACGUUGAGGCUCGAAAGCGUGGGGAGCAAACAGGAUUAGAUACCCUGGUAGUC